GUCAGUGUUAUAAACGCAGAGGGUCCACCCGUUCCCAUUCCGAACACGGAAGUUAAGCUCUGCAGUGGUGAAAAUACUUUGCGGGCGACCGCACGGGAAGAUAGCUCAAUGCUGACA
rnacentral:rRNA from 1 species